AUUGGUAUAGCGGUCGUUCUCAUUAAACAUUUCAUUUAUGGUAUCUAGUAGAUUUUGAAGCUGGACCCUGUUGCUUUUGAACCCACAGCUAUACACUCUAAAUACUGCUGGGUUAUUUUUUAACCCAAAAUGCUGGGUUGAGUCUGUUGGGUCAUUUUGUUGGGUUAUUUUAUUUAUUUUUAAACACUUUUGGGUAGUUUCAGUUUACCAGGUGUUGGGUUAAACCUGCUGGGUUGCGUCGCUGGGUUGUUUCAGGCCAGCGCUGGGUUAUUUAAGGCGCCUUGAAGAUGUUUAAAUCGCUCCCCAACUGUCAUUUUGGAAGAACAACGGGGCAAAGACACAGCUUUCAACUGUUUUAAGAAAAGCACAUGGAUACAUUUGUGAGAGAAAAACUCGUCAAAUGCAGUCUUAUUGAGGCGUCUAAAGGUCUGAACAAACCUGGAAUUCCUUAACCGAACAGAGUCCACAAAACCCCAUCCAAUUGUUGUGGCGAUUUAAAAAUGCCAGCAGAUCUCUUAGGCAUUAUCAUAAUCAAUGGACAGGUCACCGUAGCCACGAGAUCCAGUCUGUGUCCAGAUCAGAGGGUCACUGCAGUCACCCGUAUCCAGUACGUAUCCAGACCAGAUGGUGGAUCAGCACCUAGAAAGGACCUCUACAUCCCUGAAAGACAGCGGAGACCAGGACAACUAGAGCCCCAGAUACAGAUCCCCUGUAAAUACCUUGUCUCAGAGGACCACCAGGACAAGACCACAGGAAACAGAUGAUUCUUCUGCACAAUCUGACUUUGCUGCAGCCUGGAAUUGAACUACUGGUUUCGUCUUGUCAGAGGAGAACUGACCCCCAACUGAGCCUGGUUUCUCCCAAGGUUUUUUUCUCCAUUCUGUCACCGAUGGAGUUUUGGUUCCUUGGUUUUCCUUAGUUUGAGACAAUUAAUAUCAAGCGAUAUCAUCGACUUGAUUGUACAGAGGGACGAUACAUCACUGAAUCAAUGAUGAACUGACUUCAACUGAAAACUGAGUGUUUACUUUUGUCUCUUUGCAUUAUUACACACUAUUUUCCUAUUUAAUACUGUAAAGCUGCUAUGAUGCAGUAUUUGAUUAAUAUGACAGGCUUAUUACUCAUAAUACAUGGAAAAUACAGCUGCAAAUGGACUUUGCUUUUCUAUUUGAAAUUUGGCAGUCACUGUGCAUUCAUGAAUGCAUCAAGUAAUUUUUGUUCAGUGUUUUUGUUCAAGAUUUGCAAUUGUGUUUGGAUUAUGUCACAAUUUGCCACAUGUGGAAAACACAAUUGAAAAUAUAAUUUGCAAUUCCUUUUGAAAAUUGUCCUUCCAUAGACAGGCUCUAUAGCAGACUACACUGCUCUCAGGUGUAGAUCUUUGCUUCAGAGCUUAAGUGUUUGACAAUAGUACACCCAAAAAUGAAAAUUGUUAAUUAUUCACCCUGGUCUGAAAUCUCUCGAAUAUCAUCGAAAAUAUCUUAACUUGUCUUCUGAAGAUGAACGAAGGUCUUACGGGUUUGUAACAACAUGAAGUUGAGUAAUAAAUGACAUAAUUUUCAUUUUUGGGUGAACUAUAUGUUGAACUACACUAAGCAGUGCACAUCUACCUACAUAGGAGUCUUUAUAUACUUGAUAUAAAUUUAAGGACAUCUUUAAAUUUAAAGAAUGUUAAUUGUUAAUGUCAUUUCACUGUGUAUUUAAAUAGCUAAAUAUGUCAAAAUGUAAUAGUUAAACAGCUAGACACAGGUCAUUCAGAAAAAAAAAUAUUAUUUAUUGCAACUGUAAUUCUGUGAUUUUUAUUUUAAUUAUUUAUUUUGCAUUUGCUGGAAACAAAAGAAGGGAAAAUUCCAUGUUGUUUGUCAUUGGUACAAGUUUUUGAAUGUCAGAUGGCAUUAAAAAUAUUUUUAACAGUCUAAAUAACCUGUAUUCUUCAUUAUUUAUUAAUCCAUGAUUGCUUUGUUAAGUAAAAGUGAAAUUAUGAGAAUAACCCAGCAAGAAUAACCCAGAAUAAUAAAAAUGCAAACCCACAAAUGGUAAAAAUGACUCUAUCUUGGGUUUUCUCAAUAACCCAGCAUGCUGGGUUAAAAUGUGUAAACCAGCAUGCUGGGUUACUUUAACCCAGCACGUGUUCUGUCCAAUAUUUACCCAGUGCUGGGUUGCCAAUUGGGUUAUUUUUAACCCAGCCAUUUUUAGAGUGUAGGGGCAAUGGAGACAUUUUCUCCAGUAUUUACUGUCAAUGACGUGACAGCGACCUCCACAUCUGUCAACAAGCUCCUGCAGCUGUGGACUUUUCUGAACAAAUUCUUCGAUGGUUUGACCCUCUACAUCUUCACCGUGAGUGAAUAAAACCACUGCAUGUUUAAAGGCUUCCUCACCACAAUACUUUCUUAUUUCAAUCACAAUCUCUCUUUUGUGUCUUGUGUACCUUUCAACUUUUAGAACAAGGCAUCAACGCCUGGAGCACAAUUAAUAAUGGAUCUAAUGAUCUCAGAUCUGAUGGACUCAUCAUCUCGGUCUGUGUCAAAGAGUCCAGGAGUGUCGAUAACUGUGAUCUUCUGUCCAUAAACCUUCCUCUCUCCUCUCAUAGAUCGAACUGUAACUGAAUUUGGUGAAGCAUCAGGGGUGAAAAUAUUUAUUCCAAGGAUUGUGUUUCCAGCGCUGCUUUUUC
ensembl:lncRNA